CCUGCGUGGAAGACUCGGGAUCAGCUUCAGGAGACACUGAAAGGGGAAGAGGAGGGGCUGGUACUGAGGACUUCACCCUCAGCACUGCCCCCAAGGAACAGAGGCCUUCCUGGCCCUUGGAAACUAGGCCCGUAUCUGGUCUCCACCCUGGUGGGCUCCUGGGGCCCUGGAACCAGGCUCGGGGCAAUGCCCACGUACACUGAGGUGGUUGAACUGGAUGAUCAUGGAUGAGCCCAAGACCGGAGCUGACCCCGGAAACUGGUCCUUCCAGCAGUCAGAGCCUUCCAGAGAAGGCCAGAGGACACACUGCGUGAUGACGCAGCUGUACAAAGUGUUCAUCCAGGAGCCAGAAAGGAAGCAGGGUACAGAGUUUCAGCUUGGGAUGAUGAGAAAGUUCCAAAGAUGGAUGCUGGUGAUGAUUGUGCACCAAAGUGAAUGUACUUGACUGUCCUGUGAAUGUCUGAACUGUACAUCUGAAAAUUAUUGAAGUGAAGCCUUCCUUGAAGAUCUGGUGAUCCUUGGCCAUUCAUUCAUUAUUACAAGUGAGGCAAGAAAAGCUGAUUGGAUACUGUGUGAACAAGGCUUAUCAACUGGUG